GCUGUACGAGGACAGUACCCCUACUGCGGACACACAGCCCAGUAAUGAGCUGCCCUGUAACACUGAGGAAAACUGGACUCUAAACAGCCUAUCAGAAGAGACCAAUCCC